GUGCAAGUGAUGACAAAAUAGACAGGGACAUCAGCUACUCCUAUGGAGAAUGAUGACUUAGUCUAAAUGGGAAUCUCUCUGAUGCA
rnacentral:snoRNA from 1 species